UAGCACUUCUACAGCCGAAGGGUGAUCAAGCCUUGGGUUUGCAGAGUCCUAAUUUGUCAAAGUCGGGUAAAUCUCUAAUCGUCACAACUAUCAGGAAACUAGACGAAAAACGUAUACGUACUUCACUAUGAAGAAAAUAAAAAUUCUCCUAACUUCAUAUUAAUUUCCUUGUACCUAUGUACAAAUUGCAUCUCAAGCAAAACCUUUGUCUCAUAAAACAAUACAAUGAUAUUUGGGUACGCGUGUGUCGUUGACCGCGCGAUGUCACCGUAAUAAUUCAGUGAAUUAUUAUAGUUCGAUUCUAAGACCGAAUA